rnacentral:rRNA from 1 species
UACGAAGGGGGCUAGCGUGGUUCGGAAUCACUGGGCGGAAAGGGCGCGUAGGCGGUUUUUUAAGGCGGGGGUGAAAGCCUGUGGCUCAACCACAGAAUUGCCUUCGAUACUGCAUGGCUUGAGACCGGAAGAGGUAAGUGGAACUGCGAGUGUAGAGGUGAAAUUCGUAGAUAUUCGCAAGAACACCAGUGGCGAAGGCGGCUUACUGGUCCGGUUCUGACGCUGAGGCGCGAAAGCGUGGGGAGCAAACAGG